rnacentral:piRNA from 1 species
UGGAAGUAACAGAGUGAUAUCAGGUCC